UUGCACUGUUAACUGAGUGAUAUGCCACCUCUAGGCAUGUCUCAAUCAGUCCAGUGCUAGAUAAACCUCAGUUAGCAGAAGGGAGUGCCGAAAAUUGGUGUUUCCCUUUUGAAGGCUGAGAACAAUC